rnacentral:rRNA from 1 species
UAAGGAAUAUUGGUCGAUGGACGCAAGUCUGAACCAGCCAUGCCGCGUGAAGGAUGAAGGUCCUCUGGAUUGUAAACUUCUUUUAUCUGGGACGAAAACGGGAUUUUUAUCUCAAUUGACGGUACCAGAGGAAUAAGCACCGGCUACCUCCGUGCCAGCAGCCGUGGUAAUACGGAGGGUGCAAGCGUUAUCCGGAUUCACUGGGUUUAAAGGGUGCGUAGGUGGGCAGAUAAGUCAGUGGUGAAAUCUUCCGGCUUAACCGGGAAACUGCCGUUGAUACUAUUUAUCUUGAAUAUUGCGGAGGUCAGCGGAAUAUGUCAUGUCGCGGUGAAAUGCUUAGAUAUAACAUAGAACACCAAUUGCGAAGGCAGCUUACUACACAAUCAUUGACACUGAGGCACGAAAGCGUGGGUAGCGAACA